AAAAAAUAAAGAAAUCAGGAAAUAUCUUGUAAAUAAAUUAUUUAUCCGUCCGCAAGAAGUAAUUGAAGGUGUCACGUGUAAUAAAUGCAGAUUGUUUUGUGGAAAAGAAAUACAAAAGAAACCAACUACUAAAAGAAAUGCUGAGUAUCUAGACAAAGAUCCCGAUUUUAUUCCAGUUGUCAGAAGCUCAAGUAAACAUUAUAUUGAUUGUCGUUCACCCCCAAGUAUUCAGCUUAAGUUUCCAUCUACAACAGCCAGC
rnacentral:lncRNA from 1 species